rnacentral:snoRNA from 1 species
UAGGAAUGGAAUGCAGCCGUGAGCAGCCACAGACAGUAAAGCCAAUGGUUCCUGCCGACAGCGUCUGUAGAGUGAUCAGAUUUUCUGUGCGAUGGUUCCAUACAUU